rnacentral:rRNA from 1 species
CUCAGUGGUCAGGAUGAUUAUUGGGCCUAAAGCAUCCGUAGCCGGCUCUGUAAGUUUUCGGUUAAAUCUAUGCGCUCAACGUAUGGGCUGCCGAAAAUACUGCAGAGAUAGGGAGUGGGAGAGGUAGACGGUACUCGGUAGGAAGGGGUAAAAUCCUUUGAUCUAUCGAUGACCACCUGUGGCGAAGGCGGUCUACCAGAACACGUUCGACGGUGAGGGAGAAAGCA